CUAGCCGUAAACGAUGGAUACUAGGCGUUGAGAGGAUCGACCCUCGCAGUGCCGUAGCUAACGCGUUAAGUAUCCCGCCUGGGGAGUACGCGCGCAAGCGUGAAACUCAAAGGAAUUGACGGGGGCCCGCACAAGCGGUGGAGUAUGUGGUUUAAUUCGAUGCAACGCGAAGAACCUUACCAGGGCUUGACAUGUCCGGAACCCUGCCCAAAGGUGGGGGUGCCUACGGGAACCGGAACACAGGUGGUGC
rnacentral:rRNA from 1 species